AUGUAGCUGACGAGUCCCAAAUGGGACGAAACACGGUUUCUGGAU
rnacentral:hammerhead_ribozyme from 1 species